GAUGAACGCUAGCUACAGGCUUAACACAUGCAAGUCGAGGGGAAACGCUGAGAGAGCUUGCUCUCUUAGGCGUCGACCGGCGCACGGGUGAGUAACGCGUAUCCAACCUACCCAUUACAGGGGGAUAACCUUGCGAAAGUAAGACUAAUACCCCAUGGCAUUUUAUGGUGGCAUCAUUAUAGGAUUAAAGAUUUAUUGGUAAUGGAUGGGGAUGCGUCUGAUUAGCUUGUUGGCGGGGUAACGGCCCACCAAGGCAACGAUCAGUAGGGGUUCUGAGAGGAAGGUCCCCCACAUUGGAACUGAGACACGGUCCAAACUCCUACGGGAGGCAGCAGUGAGGAAUAGUGGGCAAUGGGCGAGAGCUUGAACCAGCCAAGUAGCGUGCAGGAUGACGGCCCUAUGGGUUGUAAACUGCUUUUAUAGGGGAAUAAAGUGAGCUACGUGUAGUUUAUUGCAUGUACCCGAUGAAUAAGGACCGGCUAAUUCCGUG
rnacentral:rRNA from 1 species